rnacentral:rRNA from 1 species
GAAGGGGGAUGCAAGCGUUAUCCGGAAUCACUGGGCGUAAAGCGUCUGUAGGUGGUGAUGCAAGUCACUGGUGCAAAACUCUGGCUCAACCGGAGGAAAGCCAGUGAAACUGCAUGACUAGAGUGUGGGAGAGGUAGAAGGAAUUCCCUGUGUAGCGGUGAAAUGCGUAGAUACAGUGAAGAACACCGGAUGCGAAAGCGUUCUACUGGAACACAACUGACACUGAGAGACGAAAGCUAGGGGAGCGAAUGGG